rnacentral:rRNA from 1 species
UACGAAGGGGGCAAGCGUUGUUCGGAAUUACUGGGCGUAAAGAGCUCGUAGGUGGUUCGGUAAGUCGGGUGUUAAACCCCCAGGCUCAACCUGGGGACGCCACUCGAUACUGCUGUGACUAGAGUCCGGUAGGGGAGCGUGGAAUUCCUGGUGUAGCGGUGAAAUGCGCAGAUAUCAGGAGGAACACCAAUAGCGAAGGCAGCUCGCUGGGACGGUACUGACGCUAAGGCGCGAAAGCGUGGGGAGCGAACAGG